CGAGGAUGAGAAAUUCUACUUUUACGUGUGAUACAUUGCUAACGUGAUUAUGAUAUGUGACAUGCAAGUAUGUGACGACAUACAAGUUAUAAUAUGAAAACGAAUCUGCUGAAUCAUCGAAAGGGACCUAGUCACUACUCCCAGUUCCAUAAGAUUAGGAAUUGUAAGUGGAAUGAAGCAGCACUUCCAGUUGACAAAUGGAUCUAAAGGUGGAGGCACCUGGAAGAUGACAAAAGUAGGGAGGAGGAGGACCUGGAGGAGGACGCUUGUGUCUCCUAGGGGAUGAGGAAGGUCCACAGAGGAGAAAGAGAACCAGCUACAGCCACCAAGGCAGGAACCAAGAACCUCUUCAGAAGAUGACUGGAAUAAAGAAGACAAGUCCGACAUGGAACAUGGAGCAGUCAUGCGCGCUGAUGAUCAAAAGUCGGUUUCUGGACAACACAAGUGAACAAGCCUAUUUAAGAUAAAUUCUCCUACACGUCCUUGUACCUACUCCUUGCCCUCUGCCUCAAGGUCAGAGAACAGCUGCGUUCAGCUUAUUCUCCCCUGAAGCCUUCCGACCUUUCAGAAGGCCUGCUCCUUUCCCAACAGUUUCUCCCACCACUCUGACCGAUUACCUACACAUCUACAUUUCAUCAGCUGAAAUAUCACACAUCAUGUAGCUUCUGGAAAGUCCUCUGUACAUUCACGAGAGUUGGAAAGUAAAAAAAAAGGUAAAAACUUCAAGUGUUUUUAUAAUCAGUUGUGUUGCAGAAUCUCAUGCAAUCUUAGAAAAGUUUAAAAAAACCAUGUGCGUUAGACAACAGGAUGGGAGAUGAACACUGUGAACAUGAACAUUCUGGUUUACUGUUGUGUAGAAGAUGGA
rnacentral:lncRNA from 1 species